UACGUAGGGGGCAAGCGUUGUCCGGAAUCAUUGGGCGUAAAGCGCGUGUAGGCGGCCAGGUAAGUCCGUUCUGAAAGCCCGGGGCUCAACCCCGGGAGGCGGAUGGAUACUGCUUGGCUCGAGUCCGGAAGAGGCGAGUGGAAUUCCCGGUGUAGCGGUGAAAUGCGCAGAUAUCGGGAGGAACACCAAUGGCGAAGGCAGCUCGCUGGGACGGUACUGACGCUGAGACGCGAAAGCGUGGGGAGCAAACAGGGAUUAAGAAACCCUGAGUACGUCCGAG
rnacentral:rRNA from 1 species